rnacentral:rRNA from 1 species
AGUUUGAUCCUGGCUCAGGAUGAACGCUAGCUGGAGGCUUAAUACAUGCAAGUCGAGCGGGAUUGGUAGCAAUACCAUGAGAGCGGCGCACGGGUGAGUAACGCGUACACGACCUACCUCUGACAGGGGGAUAGCCCCGGGAAACUGGGAUUAAUACCGCAUAUUAUUCUGAUUAAUAAAGGAUUGGAAUGAAAGUUCAGGCGGUCAGAGAUGGGUGUGCGUCUGAUUAGCUAGUUGGUAGGGUAACGGCCUACCAAGGCGAUGAUCAGUAGGGGGCGUGAGAGCGUGGUCCCCCACACGGGUACUGAGACACGGACCCGACUCCUACGGGAGGCAGCAGUAAGGAAUAUUGGUCAAUGGGCGAAAGCCUGAACCAGCCAUCCAGCGUGCAGGAAGAAGGCCCUAUGGGUUGUAAACUGCUUUUAUCAGGGAAGAAACCUCUGGAUUUACUCCGGAGCUGACGGUACCUGAAGAAUAAGCACCGGCUAACUCCGUGCCAGCAGCCGCGGUAAUACGGAGGGUGCGAGCGUUAUCCGGAAUUACUGGGUUUAAAGGGUGCGUAGGCGGCUUUGUAAGUCAGGAGUGAAAGUUUGCAGCUCAACUGUAAAAUUGCUUCUGA